UCAAAAAAAACUUUAUUGUCUUUAUUCCAGCCGGAGCAGGUUUGUGGACAGUGUCGCCCCCUUCAGGCUGUACGAUGGGCAGCAGGAAGGUGCCUCAGUGCAGGAACUCAGACAUAAUGCUCCAUGGAAAGUAUCUGACAAAGAAUUUGAGGCCUUUAAGCUCAAGUCUGAGAGAAAAGUGAGGCUGAAUGAAAUCAUUCGGAAGAAUUCACAACACACAGCUCUUGUUCUAGUGAGCCUUCCAGUUCCUCAAAGUGACUGUCCCAGUGCUCUCUACAUGGCCUGGCUGGACACCCUGACCUGUGGCCUUCACUGCCCUGCUGUUCUAAUACGAGGAAACCAACAGAAUGUCCUCACAUUCUACUGCCAGUAAAGCUUCACAAUUAAUAUCCAACAGCAAUGACGACCUGAUCUGUAAAUAAUUCUACGUGAAUCCCGUAAAAAAGUUUAAAAACAAUCCACUGGACUUGGUUUCCAAGGUUUGAAGAUGUUUCGCUUCCCCUCCAGGAAGCUUUUAUCAAUUCAAAUGUCUGGAACCGCAGUGAGUUUGAGGCUUUAUAUAGACAAGGCCUUGUAUUGCUUGGAAACAUGCAAAUUGAAACCGACGAGCAGUUUGUUUGGUUUCAUUGUUAGCCUGUAAUAUCUGAAACUUGUCCAUGAUUCUGAAUUCUACGUGAAUAUUUGAGAAAUUACAUGUAGAAUCGUAAACAUAAAAAGUGUAAAAAAAAAAGUUUAAAAAAGAGGCAACAUUUUCUCUCUAACUCAAGUCCUACCAUGUAUGGAUGCAACUUUAUCUAUGUAUAUGGGUCUUUAUCAACAGUCUUCAGAUCAAAGUUUAAAAAGCCAUAUUGCUUUUUUUAAUCAAGGGGAGGACCAAUCAAGUGAAGGAAAUAGAGAUGCAUGCAAUUGUAUUUAUUAUUUUCUUAGUUUUAUAUGUAUAUAUGUAGAUCUUAUUGACAUUGUCACUUUAAGUGUUGCUAGUAAGAAGUAGUGACUAGCUCAACAUUCCUUGACUUGCUUAACUCUUCCUUUAUUGACGCCUCCUUUAAUUCUUUAAUACUCAAAGUGUACCUCACCUUUUUUUCAACAUAUAAAUAUAGCCAAUUAAGUAAGUUUUUGUAAUUUUUCAUGUAUGAUUUUUUUCUUCUGCAAUUUGUGUUUUAAAACAUUCUCAGUGCCCUAAAUUGUUAAAUGGCUAUUAAUAUUAAUAUUCCUAUUUUACCAAACAACUGGUUUCAUCUUAGCAGUGCUUUUGAGGAUAAAUCCCACCAAUAGCUGCUACAGUAAGUCAGUGCUUUGAAGCAAGCGGCUUCAACUGAUUAGUCUCUGGUCCACCGGGCUCCAUAAAACCU